rnacentral:lncRNA from 1 species
UGGGAAUGUUUUACCUCCUUCAUAUUCAGGGAUGGUAGCAAUGACAACCACUAGCAAGAACUGAGGUUUGUUUUGUGCACGGCAGCACGGCUUGCUUUUUGGUGCUGAACAUCUGCCUCUCUUGUUUUCCAGGACACUGGAGUAUCUCAUGAGGCACUUGCUGUCUCUGGCCAGGAACUGCUCUAUCACCAACAUGCAUGCUAAGAAUUUAGCAAUUGUGUGGGCUCCAAACCUCUUAAGUUCUUCAGCGGAGCCAGUCUGUGACCACCAGUGGAGAAGCUGCCUGCAUGGAGCUGCAGACACAGACAGCUGUUGUGGAACUCCUCAUAAGCCACGCAGAUGUUCUCUUCGGCUCCAAAUCCACACCAGCCAAGGGAGAGGGAGCAGGGCACAGUUCUCUGUCGGGGUCCAAGUCUGCGUGGGAGUCUCCUACUGUCACACAACUGCUCACCCUGCAGGAGGCACAGGCUCGGAGAAGAGGCCAGAGCAGCUCUCCUGCUGUGGCACAGAACUGCGAUGACAUUGAGGUGGAGGAAGGCCCCGCAGCGGUACUGGGAAGGUUCCACACAGUCAUCAAUUUUUCAUCUGAAAGGUAAAGAGGAAUUCCCUUUUCUGCCCCUAUCAUCAUUGGUCGGGUGGGUUUUAUCGGUUUAAUUUUUCUCCAUUAUAUCUCCGAGGACUCAACAAACAUACAGUUGCCCGAGGGGGUCAACGGAGCCACACAAGGGUUCCUUUCCUUCCUGGUUGGGCAGGCAGUCACGAGAUGCAGACAGCCACUCUGACGUCUUUCCUGGCCUGUGCUGGCUGUAUCAGAAAGCACUGGGGAUUUCCAGAUUUCCAGGCCGCGUGCCUGAAAUCAAUUGCAUUUCUCCUGUAAGCAGACCUGUUGGUCGGAGUUGCUGGCAUUAGAAAUUAAAGAUGGCAGUGAGCUGAGGCCGAGGAGUUAUUAGCGUUAAGAGUCAGA